GACGUAGGGGGCCAGCGUUGCUCGGAAUUACUGGGCGUAAAGGGUUCGUAGGCGGUGCGGCAAGUCGGGAGUGAAAUCUCUGGGCUUAACUCGGAGGCUGCUUCCGAAACUGCCGUGCUCGAGUGCGGGAGAGGCGAGUGGAAUUGCAGGUGUAGCGGUGAAAUGCGUAGAUAUCUGCAGGAACACCUGUGGCGAAAGCGGCUCACUGGACCACAACUGACGCUGAGGCGCGAAAGCUAGGGGAGCAAACAGG
rnacentral:rRNA from 1 species